rnacentral:rRNA from 1 species
AAAGUCUAACCUGCCCAAUGAUAUUUAUAUUAAAUGGCCGCAAUAUUUUGAUUGUGCAAAGGUAGCAUAAUAAUUAGUUUUUUAAUUGAGAACUAGUAUGAAUGGUUGGACGAGAAAAAAACUGUCUCAAUUUAAUUUUACUUAGAAUUUUAUUUUUAAGUUAAAAAGCUUAAAUAUUUUUAAAAGACGAGAAGACCCUAUAGAGUUUUAUAAAUAAUAAUAUUUUAAUUAAUUUUAGUAUUUUACUUAUUAAUUAUAUUAUAUUUAUUUAGUUGGGGUGACUAAAAAAUUUAAUUAACUUUUUUUAUUAUUUAACAUUUAUUUAUGAAUAAUUGAUCCA